rnacentral:lncRNA from 1 species
GGCAGAACUCCAUUCCCUCAACAAGGGAGGUCCUCCGCUACUUAGCCCACCUGAAGGAGCUGGGCAGGGCACCAAAGACUCUCAAUAUUCAGUCCGCAGGGAUCUCAUAUUUUUGUAAAGCCUUUUUCGCCACCGACCCGUGCGCUAAAUUUAUAGUGCGUAAGACUUUAGAGGGUUGGCGCCGGCUCCAGCCCCCCAGCUCUGACAAGAGGAGGCCCUUAACUUAUGAUAUUCUGACCCAGAUACACAAAAAAUUACGUGCAAUAUGCUGGUCAAAAUAUGAAGCUCGCCUAUUCUCUGCCGCUUAUUCCAUAGCCUUCUUUGGUGCCCUGCGCAUAGGGGAGGUAGUUUGUGAGGGAGGGGUUGCCCACUGCCAGAGGGGCAUCCUCUUAAGUGAUCUGACCCUAUCAAGGAACGACCUAAUCGUUCAAGUACGGAGCUCUAAGACGGACCAACAGGGUAGGGGGGCCCUCAUCCAGUUACCAGCCGCACAAGGUAGUGGUCCCUGCCCGGUUAGGGAUACAAGGCGUUUCCUCUACUUAAGACCCAAUAGCCCCGGCCCCUUUUUAAUUCACGCGGAUGGAUUGCUCUUGGCUAGACACCAGUUUACACGGGUGAUACGCAUGGCUUUGGCAGCAUGCAGACUGCCUGCGGCCGAAUUUGCAGCUCACUCCUUUCGGAUCGGGGCCGCUACCACUGCUGUGCACCUCGGGCUCUCCACAGAGAGGAUAAAGGACUUGGGGCGGUGGAAAUCUAAUGCAUACAGAGCUUAUGUAAGAAAGAAUCUAUGACUAGCGGUUGUACUCCUGACCUUGGUUUUUCUGUCUAUUUGCUUUUCAGAAUACAGGAAGGUGCGCAUUUGGUUGGUGGGCCACAGCAUUGUGCAUUGGGCCAAGAAUCAUGCCAUGAGUACCGGGUUGGGGCAAAACUUGAACUUACCUGCAAAUGUUGAGCUGGCGUGGAUAGCGCGAAGAGGGAUGCGCUGGAGCGAAUUCAAGCCAGCCAUGAUGGCGAGAGCCGCCUCUGAGGGCCCACCUGAUGCCCUGGUUAUCCAGUUGGGGGAAAACGACCUAGCGUACCGCAAAGCUAUUGACUUGAGAUGGAACAUUUUUGACGAUUUUGCUGAUCUGAUGGCGGUUUACCCAAACAUUACUAUCUUGUGGUCCUCGUUGCUUGAGAGGAGGACAUGGAGGGAUUGUUUGAGCCCGGUUGGAAUCAAUAAAGCAAGAAAGGUCUUGGAGCGGGCUGUGGAGCGUAGAGUGGCGGCUCUGUGCGGGUGCGUCAUUGGCCACCCAAGCAUCCAGUACAGCAACGAGGCCCUCUACAGAUGGGAUGGCGUGCAUCUGUCAGAUGCUGGAAACGAUAUUUGGUUGGGGGACAUCAUAGCAGGGAUUAGGAAUUGGUUACAGGUUUGAAGGUAUUGGCUGCGAGCUUUGCUCGAGUGGUGGUUAGGCAUUGGCAGGGGUUAAUUGUUAUGCAAAUGAAUGGGGGGAAGGAAGCGCCAUCACCUUCCUCCAAUGAAAAGGGUAGUCCGGUAGAGGACUCCGGGGGGCGUUGCCUUGUCCGAAACCUAGGGAGGUAAGGGCCUCCGGCAUGCCCCCGAGCGGUGACACCCGUGGGAUCCUAGUUGGCGUACUUCAACAGGACUCCCACAGCUUGUGGAUAACCCUUCCCAGUCUCCAUGCCGGGUAGUCGAUAGGCAAUGCCUAAGGCCAAUA